CAGAGUUUAUGAGUGGAGAAGACAAAGAAGAUAAUUAAUGACGUAUUAUGAGUUUUCUGGUGAUCAUUUUGCAUUACCGUAUCUGCUGCGUUGAUGAUGAUGAUGAUGCCCUAUUAACCCCUUAUUUUAUGAUUUUUUUCUUCAGACACAGAGCUGUAAGUAUUGUCUGAUUCUGAUACAUACUUUUUUUUUUUUUUUUUUGUGCUUUUAAGGAUUUUUUUAAGAGGAGCUCUUAGAAGCGAUGGGAAUGGCGUCCAUGAGCUCUAUUGGUGAAAGCCUUCGACUUUGCGAGUGUGUUUGAUUUGAGGAGAGAUCAAAACGAAAGACAGGACCAGAUUUUCUUCUUCUAUCCUCCUGAUUUUAACCUUCUCCACUCAGCGAGUUGAGGCAGCUUGUGAGGUAAUAUAAGCAAAAGCAGAGAGACAUUCUCAUGUUUUCUAUGAGGCCGAGCCCGAUAUAAGGAUGAUCAUGGUUGUUGAGAAAAAUAAAGGAGAUUAAAGCCAUAUGGAGGAGGGUUGAUGCAUUGCAGAAAGUACUAAAAGGAAAUUUAAUUCCCUCUUUGUUAUGUUUCACGGAUCAGUUAGGGAAUUUCUGGAUAAAGAACCAACUGGAGGGCUUAUUCGAUUCAUCACAGACUAUUUAAAUGGUAGGGCAAUAUCCACCUUUUUUUAGCACAUGAAAUCCGUGUGUCACAGCAGUUUUGAAGAAGUUCAGUCUUUUGUCGGACUGCUAGAUUCAUGUACCAGGACCCUUUGGUGUCAACAACUCUCUCACCUGAUGAUACCGUUGACUUCUCAUGAGACUUGAUCACGAACGCUCCAUCCUCUGGCACGAGUUCCUGGUCAUACCUACGCAGGAGUUCCAGUUUAUCUCAAAUCUCUUCUAGAUCUUCUGCUUCAGCGCAGAUUCUCGGUUCAAGUGAUCCAUUGCCUCAGACUCUGUCCAGAGUUUACACCAACAGGUACUGCAGCGGAGCAUCAUUCUCCAUGGAUUAAAUAUUCUGCAUUAUAACCUUUUAAUAAAGUUCUUUUUCGAUGUUUAGGCCAUUUUUUUUCUAAUUACAAAGUUGAAAAGAAUGAUCAUUUUUUUUAAUUACAAAGUUGAAAAGAAUGAUCAUCUUGUCUACACUUGGUUUUCAACUUGACCCUUGACGGUUUCAUGUCUA